AAAUUCUCUUAUGGACCCUAUAAUACCAUGAGCGUUGUUCUCUCUAGUUACUAAGCUAGGUUAACUCUAAUUUGUUAAGUAAUGAAUAUUCUAAUUGAAUUUUCUGCAAAACAGUUUGAGACUAAUCAUUGAAUGUUAUAUUUUUGUACAUUUUGAAUACAUCGGAAUUUUUAAGUUUGUGUGAACAUUUUCGUAAUUAAAAUUAUGUAGUCAUUAACGUAAAAUUAAUUGUAAUAUGUCGGGGUACCUGGACGAUAAACGGGCGUAUUUUUAUUUGGUUGUCAUUAAAACUAAUGAUUAGAC